UACGUAGGCAGCGAGCGUUGUUCGGAGUUACUGGGCGUAAAGAGUGCGUAGGCGGUUUUCUAAGUUUGGUGUGAAAUCUCCCGGCUCAACUGGGAGGGUGCGCCGAAGACUGGAAGGCUUGAGUAUGGGAGAGGUAAGCGGAAUUCCUGGUGUAGCGGUGAAAUGCGUAGAUAUCGGGAAGAACACCAGUGGCGAAGGCGCUCUACUGGGCCACAACUGACGCUGAGGGACGAAAGCUAGGGGAGCGAAAGGG
rnacentral:rRNA from 1 species